rnacentral:rRNA from 1 species
UACGGAGGGUGCAAGCGUUAUCCGGAUUCACUGGGUUUAAAGGGUGCGUAGGAGGGCAGGUAAGUCAGUGGUGAAAUCUCCGAGCUUAACUUGGAAACUGCCGUUGAUACUAUCUGUCUUGAAUAUUGUGGAGGUGAGCGGAAUAUGUCAUGUAGCGGUGAAAUGCUUAGAUAUGACAUAGAACACCAAUUGCGAAGGCAGCUCGCUACACAUAUAUUGACUCUGAGGCACGAAAGCGUGGGGAUCAAACAGG